rnacentral:rRNA from 1 species
AUACGUAGGGGGCGAGCGUUGUCCGGAAUUACUGGGCGUAAAGGGUGCGUAGGCGGCCCUUUAAGUCAGAUGUGAAAGGCCACGGCUUAACCGUGGGAUUGCAUUUGAAACUGGAGGGCUUGAGUGUCGGAGAGGGUAGUGGAAUUCCCAGUGUAGCGGUGAAAUGCGUAGAUAUUGGGAGGAACACCAGUGGCGAAGGCGACUACCUGGACGAUAACUGACGCUGAGGCACGAAAGCUAGGGGAGCAAACAGGAUUAGAUACCCUGGUAGUCCUAGCCGUAAACGAUGGGUACUAGGUGUAGGUGGUUUCGAUACCAUCUGUGCCGGAGUUAACGCAAUAAGUACCCCGCCUGGGGAGUACGUGCGCAAGCAUGAA